UCCUGGGGCUGGAUAGGGUCCCAAGGGUUGGGCUGUUCGCCCAUUAAAGCGGUACGUGAGCUGGGUUCAGACCGUCGUGAGACAGGUCGGUCUCUAUCCGCUGUGGGCGGAGGGGGUUUGAGAGGCGCUGUCCCUAGUACGAGAGGACCGGGAUGGACGAAGCGCUCGUGUGUCGGUUGUCAUGCCCAUGGCAGCGCCGAGUAGCGAACUUCGGAGCAGAGAACCGCUGAAAGCAUCUAAGUGGGAAACUGACCUCAAGAUGAGACCCCCCACUGCGAGAGCAGGUAAGACCGCUGGGAGACGACCAGCUGGAUAGGCGGGAGGUGGAAGCGCAGUGAUGUGUGGAGCUGACCCGUACUAAUGGUCGAGGGCUAACCC
rnacentral:rRNA from 1 species